rnacentral:rRNA from 1 species
GGGUCAGUAGGUUGGUCGUGCCACCGGUACGUACUGGUCUCACUGUUUCCUCCUUCCUGAAGAACCGUAAUGCCAUUAAUUUGGUGUUGCGGGGAAACAGGACUGUUACUUUGAAAAAAUUAGAGUGUUUAAAGCAAGCUAACGCUUGAAUACAUUAGCAUGGAAUAAUGAAAUAGGACGAUCGAUCCUAUUUUGUUGGUUUCUAGGAUUGACGUA